CUAACGUCCGUCGUGAAGAGGGAAACAACCCAGACCGCCAGCUAAGGUCCCAAAGUCAUGGUUAAGUGGGAAACGAUGUGGGAAGGCCCAGACAGCCAGGAUGUUGGCUUAGAAGCAGCCAUCAUUUAAAGAAAGCGUAAUAGCUCACUGGUCGAGUCGGCCUGCGCGGAAGAUGUAACGGGGCUAAACCAUGCACCGAAGCUGCGGCAGCGACGCUUAUGCGUUGUUGGGUAGGGGAGCGUUCUGUAAGCCUGUGAAGGUGUGCUGUGAGGUAUGCUGGAGGUAUCAGAAGUGCGAAUGCUGACAUAAGUAACGAUAAAGCGGGUGAAAAGCCCGCUCGCCGGAAGACCAAGGGUUCCUGUCCAACGUUAAUCGGGGCAGGGUGAGUCGACCCCUAAGGCGAGGCCGAAAGGCGUAGUCGAUGGGAAACAGGUUAAUAUUCCUGUACUUGGUGUUACUGCGAAGGGGGGACGGAGAAGGCUAUGUUGGCCGGGCGACGGUUGUCCCGGUUUAAGCGUGUAGGCUGGUUUUCCAGGCAAAUCCGGAAAAUCAAGGCCGAGGCGUGAUGACGAGGCACUACGGUGCUGAAGCAACAAAUGCCCUGCUUCCAGGAAAAGCCUCUAAGCAUCAGGUAACAUCAAAUCGUACCCCAAACCGACACAGGUGGUCAGGUAGAGAAUACCAAGGCGCUUGAGAGAACUCGGGUGAAGGAACUAGGCAAAAUGGUGCCGUAACUUCGGGAGAAGGCACGCUGAUACGUAGGUGAAGCGACUUGCUCGUGGAGCUGAAAUCAGUCGAAGAUACCAGCUGGCUGCAACUGUUUAUUAAAAACACAGCACUGUGCAAACACGAAAGUGGACGUAUACGGUGUGACGCCUGCCCGGUGCCGGAAGGUUAAUUGAUGGGGUUAGCGCAAGCGAAGCUCUUGAUCGAAGCCCCGGUAAACGGCGGCCGUAACUAUAACGGUCCUAAGGUAGCGAAAUUCCUUGUCGGGUAAGUUCCGACCUGCACGAAUGGCGUAAUGAUGGCCAGGCUGUCUCCACCCGAGACUCAGUGAAAUUGAACUCGCUGUGAAGAUGCAGUGUACCCGCGGCAAGACGGAAAGACCCCGUGAACCUUUACUAUAGCUUGACACUGAACAUUGAGCCUUGAUGUGUAGGAUAGGUGGGAGGCUUUGAAGUGUGGACGCCAGUCUGCAUGGAGCCGACCUUGAAAUACCACCCUUUAAUGUUUGAUGUUCUAACGUGGACCCGUGAUCCGGGUUGCGGACAGUGUCUGGUGGGUAGUUUGACUGGGGCGGUCUCCUCCUAAAGAGUAACGGAGGAGCACGAAGGUUGGCUAAUCCUGGUCGGACAUCAGGAGGUUAGUGCAAUGGCAUAAGCCAGCUUGACUGCGAGCGUGACGGCGCGAGCAGGUGCGAAAGCAGGUCAUAGUGAUCCGGUGGUUCUGAAUGGAAGGGCCAUCGCUCAACGGAUAAAAGGUACUCCGGGGAUAACAGGCUGAUACCGCCCAAGAGUUCAUAUCGACGGCGGUGUUUGGCACCUCGAUGUCGGCUCAUCACAUCCUGGGGCUGAAGUAGGUCCCAAGGGUAUGGCUGUUCGCCAUUUAAAGUGGUACGCGAGCUGGGUUUAGAACGUCGUGAGACAGUUCGGUCCCUAUCUGCCGUGGGCGCUGGAGAACUGAGGGGGGCUGCUCCUAGUACGAGAGGACCGGAGUGGACGCAUCACUGGUGUUCGGGUUGU
rnacentral:rRNA from 1 species